AUACGGGAGGCAGCAGUGGGGAAUAUUGGACAAUGGGGGCAAGCCUGAUCCAGCCAUGCCGCGUGAGUGAUGAAGGCCUUCGGGUUGUAAAGCUCUCUUGGCGGGGACGAUGAUGACGGUACCCGCAGAAUAAGCCCCGGCUAACUUCGUGCCAGCAGCCGCGGUAAGACGAAGGGGGCUAGCGUUGUUCGGAAUUACUGGGCGUAAAGCGCGUGUAGGCGGUUGUCCAAGUCGGGUGUGAAAGCCUUGAGCUCAACUCAAGAAAUGCACUCGAUACUGGGCGACUAGAGUGCCGGAGAGGAUAGUGGAAUGACCAGUGUAGUGGUGAAAUACGUAGAGAUUGGGAAGAACACCAGUGGCGAAGGCGGCUAUCUGGACGGUUACUGACGCUAAGACGCGAAAGCGUGGGGAGCAAACAGGAUUAGAUACCCUUGUA
rnacentral:rRNA from 1 species